AUUGAACGCUGGCGGCAUGCCUUACACAUGCAAGUCGAACGGUAACGCGGGGCAACCUGGCGACGAGUGGCGAACGGGUGAGUAAUGCAUCGGAACGUGCCCAGUUGUGGGGGAUAACUGCUCGAAAGAGCAGCUAAUACCGCAUACGACCUGAGGGUGAAAGCGGGGGAUCGCAAGACCUCGCGCAAUUGGAGCGGCCGAUGUCGGCUUAGCUAGUUGGUGGGGUAAGGGCCCACCAAGGCGACGAUCCGUAGCUGGUCUGAGAGGACGACCAGCCACACUGGAACUGAGACACGGCCCAGACUCCUACGGGAGGCAGCAGUGGGGAAGUUUGGACAAUGGACGCAAGUCUGAUCCAGCCAUGCCGCGUGCGGGAAGAAGGCCUUCGGGUUGUAAACCGCUUUUGUCAGGGAAGAAAUCUUCUGGGUUAAUACCUCGGGAGGAUGACGGUACCUGAAGAAUAAGCACCGGCUAACUACGUGCCAGCCGCCGCCGUAAGAC
rnacentral:rRNA from 1 species